GAUGAACGCUGGCGGCGUGCCUAAUACAUGCAAGUCGAACGAGGUGCUUUUGUAGCAAUACGAAAGUAUCCUAGUGGCGAACGGGUGAGUAACGCGUUGGUGACCUGCCCCAAAGUGUGGGAUAACAGUCCGAAAGGAUUGCUAAUACCGCAUGUGGUCCUCGGAUUUAGAAACCGAUGACUAAAGCCGUAAGGCGCUUUGGGAGGGACCUGCGUCCCAUCAGCUAGUUGGUGAGGAACGGCUCACCAAGGCGACGACGGGUAGGGGGCCUGAGA
rnacentral:rRNA from 1 species